AGCAAUUUUUUCCGGCAAACUUAUAUAAAUGUCUAAUAAUGGAGACAAGUUUCUACCCAGAACCGUAAAUUCUGGACUAUAAGUGAAGACGCUUCUUUA
rnacentral:ncRNA from 2 species